UACGUAGGGUGCAAGCGUUGUCCGGAAUUAUUGGGCGUAAAGAGCUCGUAGGCGGUUUGUCGCGUCUGCUGUGAAAACCUCAGGCUCAACCUGGGGCUUGCAGUGGGUACGGGCAGACUAGAGUGCGGUAGGGGUGACUGGAAUUCCUGGUGUAGCGGUGGAAUGCGCAGAUAUCAGGAGGAACACCGAUGGCGAAGGCAGGUCACUGGGCCGCAACUGACGCUGAGGCGCGAAAGCGUGGGGAGCAAACGGG
rnacentral:rRNA from 1 species